AUUUAUUUUAUUUAUAAUUUUUUAUUCUCAUUAUUUAUUUUAUUUUUGUUAUAUGUUAUUAAUUUCAGUCAUCCUUAAAGGAUAAACUGAAAUGUCAAGGUAAUGUUAACCAAAAACCAAAUGAAACAAUUUUACCAUAUUUGUAAGCGGUUGACUUCGGUGAAGUGAUCAAACUCAGAAAUUAUAAAAUAGAUGGCUACAUUACUGUUGUGGUUGAGAGAUGGAGACCUAAAACUCACAUGUACCAUCUUCUAGUAGGUGAAUGCACAAUAACUUUAGAAGAUGUAUAUUAUAUUUUAGGAUUAAAUGUUUCUGGUUUACCUAUUAGCGGUUCAAAAUUUUGUGCACAUUAAAGAAGUUUGUCAUGAUUACUUAGGAGUUAUCCCACCUGAAAGAACAACAAAAGGUAAUUCUAUUAAAUUAAAGUGGCUCAAGGAUAUGUUUGACGAUGUUGGUGAAGAUGCUUCUGUAUUAAAAAAAGAAGCACCGUGUCGAGCAUAUAUCCUACGUAUGAUCGGAGGGUUAUUGAUGUCUGACAAAUCCAACGACCGUGUACGUUUAAAAUAUCUUUCACUAUUAGGAGAUUUAAACAAAGCAUCCUAAUAUAGUUGAGGUUCAACAGUUUUAGCUGCACUUUAUAGAGAACUAUGUCUUGCAACAAAACCCGAUGUAAUAUCUAUGGGAGAAUGUGCAUUGUUGUUGCAAAACUGGACAUGAUAUCGUUUGUCUUGUGUCUCUCCAGAAUCUCCCAAACCAUGGAUAUUUCCACUUGCAUAAAGGUUUAAUUCUAGUGGUCUAAAUUUCGCUAAAGUUUCUCAUAACGACGUAGAAGGAUACCGAAAAAUAAUUGAUCACAUGAUGGUUGAGGAAAUAAUAUAUUCAUUCAUAUUUAUUUGAACUUUUUAAAUAUUUUAUUUUUUUGUACUUGUUAUAAUUAAUUUAGCUUAUUUUUUACAUAUCAGUUUUAUUGGAGACCUUAUCUCGGGUUCCAACAUGAAGUUUCUGAAAAAGAGAGAGUCACUUGGACUGCAUGUACUUAUCUACUCUGUUAACGAGCGUCAGAAUUACGUGUUGCAAGGUGGCAGUGGUUCUAAUCCACCUACAACUUACAUUGAGGAAAAUGAUCAAAAUUAAGAUGAACCGGAAGAACCUCAACUUGUUCAGAGAGUUAGACGAGUUCGACGACAUCCUAGAUAUGAGACUGGAGAUCAUUUAGGUGGACAUUAUUGAUAUACAUUUGAUGUUUUUUCUCAAAUGUGAUGUAUUUUUAUCAUUAAUUUAAUAUAUUUCGUUUCAUUUU